CCUACGGGCGGCAGCAGUGGGGGAUAUUGCACAAUGGGGGAAACCCUGAUGCAGCGACGCCGCGUGGGUGAAGAAGCGCCUCGGCGCGUAAAGCCCUGUCAGCAGGGAAGAAAAUGACGGUAGCUGAAGAAGAAGCCCCGGCUAACUACUGGCCAGCAGCCGCGGUAAUACGUAGGGGGAAAGCGUUAUCCGGAUUUACUGGGUGGAAAGUGGGCCCAGACGGCGAUGCAAGCCAGGAGUGAAAGCCCGGGGCCCAACCCCGGGACGGCGUUUGGAACUGCGUGGCUAGAGUGCAGGAGGGGCAGGCGGAAUUCCUGGUGUAGCGGUGAGAUGCGUAGAUAUCAGGAGGAACACCGGUGGCGAAGGCGACCAGCUGGACUGGAACUGACGUUGAGGAGCGAAAGCGUGGGGAGCAAACAGGAUUAGAUACCCGAGUAGUC
rnacentral:rRNA from 1 species